rnacentral:tRNA from 1 species
GGGAUUGUGGCUCAGUGGUAGAGUGCUUGCCUAGCAUGUGUGAGGCCCUGGGUUCGAUUCUCAGCACCA